rnacentral:hammerhead_ribozyme from 1 species
AUCCAGCUGACCAGUACCAAACAGGACGAAACGCGCGUUCUGGAU